GAAGAUAUUCACUGUGACGGCCAAAAAAACAAAGCGGCCCUCCACAUCAAGGGGAACUGGCGUAGACCUGGAAGAUGUGGAGAAGACUGUGGGAGAGACACUAGGAGAGUCUGCGUGGGCCCGGCUAUAAACGUGUAAGGAACAAUCAAGAUGACGGAGAAGGAUGAGCAGCCACAGCUGGAGGAGGGAGAGGAUGAGCUGGACAGCAAGCUCAACUACAAGCCGCCCCCUCAGAAGUCCCUGAAGGAGCUGCAGGAGAUGGACAAAGAUGACGAGAGUCUAACCAAGUACAAGAAAACACUGCUGGGAGAUGUCCCCGUGGUAGCAGACCCAACAGUUCCCAACGUGACUGUGACCCGGCUUAGCCUUGUUUGUGACAGUGCACCAGGACCAAUCACCAUGGACCUUACUGGUGAUCUCAAGGCGCUCAAAAAGGAUACAUUUGUGCUAAAGGAAGGUAUCGAAUACAGGGUCAAGAUUAACUUCAAAGUGAAUAAGGAUAUUGUGUCUGGCCUGAAGUAUGUUCAGCAGACGUACCGGAAUGGGAUGAAAGUGGAUAAAGCUACGUUCAUGGUUGGCAGCUACGGGCCUCGACCAGAGGAGUACGAGUUCCUCACUCCAGUAGAGGAGGCUCCCAAGGGCAUGUUGGCCCGAGGCACUUACCACAACAAGUCCUUCUUCACCGAUGAUGACAAGCAGGACCACCUCACCUGGGAAUGGAACCUGGCCAUUAAGAAGGAUUGGACAGACUGA
rnacentral:lncRNA from 1 species